CAGUCGCCGCGGUAAUACGUAGGGUGCGAGCGUUAAUCGGAAUUACUGGGCGUAAAGCGUGCGCAGGCGGUUAUAUAAGACAGAUGUGAAAUCCCCGGGCUCAACCUGGGACCCGCAUUUGUGACUGUAUAGCUAGAGUACGGUAGAGGGGGAUGGAAUUCCGCGUGUAGCAGUGAAAUGCGUAGAUAUGCGGAGGAACACCGAUGGCGAAGGCAAUCCCCUGGACCUGUACUGACGCUCAUGCACGAAAGCGUGGGGAGCAAACAGGAUUAGAUACCCCCGUAGUCCCUGUCUCUUAUAC
rnacentral:rRNA from 1 species